CCACGGGCUGCCUGAUUUGUUUGCUCUUCUCCCCAUUCAUUGGCCUCCUGCGUGCAUUCCCUGCAGCUGGAGUGGUUGUGGCGCGAAAACGGCCCCCUUUCCUCUCUCGGGUGUUUUUGUUUCUUUCCCCUGAUUGUUCUGUUGGGCCCCUAAAAAAAGGAAACAAAGUGUUACUGGGUAGGAUGAAGCGAUACAAUGUGUAGUUCUUCCUGCGAUUCGUUCACCCUCUAAUGGCUGAUGGAGGGUUCUGCUGGGGCUGGUGCUUUGUAAACGUGAAAAGACCAGAGAAAAAAGGAGAAGGCACAAGGAGAAGCAGAAAAGCUCACCAAGACAAAAAGCCCACAACGGGGAACAGCUGCUCUUUCACAACUUGAAGCUUCUUGGUAUAAUUUCUCCUUAUGUCCUGCAAACAAACAAGUAAUUUUAUGCACAGAAGUCCCAGUGAAGUCAAUGGGACUACACGUGAGUCAUAUGUAUUUACAGGACUGAGCCACUGGAUUACUAGAAGGGAUUCCUGGCUUUUAUUUACCUGCAAAGCAUGAUGCGCACCUGUGUAAAUAACAAGUGAGCACUCUACGAUCGCCUGCAAAGUGAUCCUCCCUUUUCAAUUUGUUCAGUGGGAGACAAAGGGCACCUACCCAUAGAUCACCACUCCGUUCCUCACCGGGCUAUCAAAAAGACUUAAUAUACAGGACAGUACUAUAGCACACAUCCAUACAUCUCAGUUUUUUAACAAAGGAAUUAUCCCUUUUUACAGAUGGAGUAAUUUAACUGCUCUGGGCUUCAAGGAUUUACCCAACAUUACCCAGGGCAGGGUUACAAACAACCAUUUUGAAUUAGGAGAACAUAGAGUCCUGGAGAUUGCUUGCUAGGCAUUGUCCCUGCCCUGAAGAACUCAUCAUUACUACAGUUGAAUCGUCUUGAAGUCAGUCAUUCAUUUUGUGACGGAUAAACAGGUUUAGUGGUUAUUACUACAAAUUCUGAGGCCAAGGUUGGACGUGACCCUCUUCAACAGCUCCUGAUGUGCUUUAGCAUCAUCCAGAGGAACCGGGUGAGGAGGCUGCGUGAUGGCGUCGUCCGGUGACGAGGAGGAGGCCGGUACCACGAGUUCCACGGCACCCAUUGGUGGUCCAGCAGGCUUUUCCUCUUGGUCCACAUGGACUUGCGGGAGCUUAUCCCCCGGGGACUCAGGCACCGGAGGGGGUUGGUGGUCAAUGCCACAGGCCUGUCCGAGGCUCCUGAUGCCGAGCAGGCAGGCUGGGCAGGCUGGGUGAACCCCCACGGGUGCUGGGGUACCACAGGCCCAGCCACUGGGCCUGGGGCAGGUUUCAGUACCGACAAUACAGGCUGCACCGAGGGUCUGGGAGGCUGCCCCACUGAUAUGAAGCCUUCCUCCAUACCGGAGCCAUAUGCGGAGCGAUUGCUGCCCAGUGACCUGGAUCCACUGGAGCAGUGACCCCAUGCCUGGUGAUAAUCACGGUCAUGUUUAGAGGAGGACAGGUCCAAGCAGGACGUGCCCCUUAGUGGGGACCUCGGUGACCAGUAGCACUUGCCAGAUCCGCGACGGGAAACCGGCGGUCCACACCUGGCGCUUCGAGACUGGUACCAGGACUAGGAGUGGGACCUGGAGGUAUCACAGGCCAGGCGCUGGGGGGAGAUCUCCCCCAGUACGGUGACACCCGUCUUGGGGAACGUUGGCGGGGCUUGCAGCUGUGGUCCUCUGAUCGUUCCCGGGAUGUGUAAUAGUGUUCUGGUGACGUGAAGGGCCGGUCCCGACGUUCCUGCUGGGUAGCGCAUGCCUCUGUGGGUCUGUGCCAGGUAACCGGCAAAGUCGGCCUCAAAUCCCACUGCCAUUGCCCAAGGUCUGGUAACCGUAGCGAGCGCCAAUGCAUCUGCAUCCCUAACUUCAAGGCAUGACUGUUUCGAGCGAGUGAAUGGUGGCAGGAUGUCCCUCACAAUGGGGAGCAGUACGGUUGGAGCGAGGGCGGACAGAAAGGUACCAAGGCGGGCUUACCCCAAGGUAUGGGCACCGCCGGGGCUGGUGUUGACGGCACUGGGAGCAUCAGGAUUUCCUGCACAGCCUGGAGCUCUUCAGGCAUAGACGGCACCAGAAGUUGAUGAAAGCUUGCCUCUGUAUCCAGGCUUCCAGGCAAAGAACGGGAUGGGCUGCAUCGCUUGACGUGAGCUGAGGCCCAACUUCCCGACAGGGGAGAUGAGCCACCUGAUGCAGGUCUUAGCUCACCCCCAGCCCUGUUCUUCCCCUUGCGGGGAGUAGGAGACCGUCCCCUAUCCCGGCCCUCUUUGACUUGUUGGCCAGGGCUAUGGAUGGGGAUUGGUGCCAGCUCGUUGAUGGCAGCGGCGGGGCACUACGCACUGAUGCCACAGGUGCUGGGUGCUGAGUCAGACCUUUGCUCCGGGGCCAGAGUGAGCGCCGACUCCAUCAAGAGCACUUUGAGUCUGAUCUCACGCUCUUUCUUGAUCCUAGGUUUAAAGGAUUUGCAGAUUCGGCACUUAUCACUUGUGUCCUUCACCGAUGCACCAGAGACGGCUACUCUGUGGAUCGCUCACGGGCAUGGACCGUUUGCAGCGACUGCAGGGCUUAAAGCGAUGAAACAAACUAACUACUGCUAAGGGCUAACUAACUCAAUUACUAUGUAUACUAACUUUACAAGAACUCUAGUUCGUAUGAACGAAGCCUAAGCAACGCUAGUAAGAGCAGCAAACGUUCCCUGCACCAUCACUGGCAGCAAAAAGAAACUGAGGGUGGGAGGAGCUGGCGGCGCCCCUUAUACCAGGCCAUGCUGGUGCCACUCCAGCAGGCGCCAGGGCCACUCCCCAACAGAUACUGCUGAGGGAAAAACUUCUGGCACCAGUGCAUGUGGCGAGCACAUACACCUAAUGUGGAAUGGACAUGAGUAAGCACUCAAAGAACUACAAUUCUCUCAUAGGCAGAUAGUGUUUUUCAGACUUAUAGAUCCAAAGGCCAGAAGAGACCACUGAAAUCACCUAGUCUGAUCACCUGCAUACACAAGCCAUAGAAAAAACGGUUACUCACCUUUUUGUAACUGUUAUUCUUCGAGAUGUGUUGUUCAUGUCCAUUCCAAGCAAUUGUGUGCGCACCGUGUGCACGCCAGCCGGAAGAUUUUCCCCUAGCAGCGUCCGUAGGAUCGGCGUUGGCGCCCCCUGGAGUGGCACCUCCACGGCGCCCUAUAUAGGGGCCCGCCGACCCUCCACCCCUCAGUUCCUUCUUGCCGGCACUCCUACAGAGGGGCACGAGGGUAGGUAUUGGAAUGGACGUGAACAACACAUCUCAAAGAACAACAGUUACAAAAAGGUGAGUUACCGUUUUUAAUUCGAGUGAUUGUUCAUGUCCAUUCCAAGCAGGUGACUCACAAGCCUGAGUUUAGGCACUGGGGUUGGAGUUUACUGCAGAUUGGAGCACUGCAUGGCCGAAGGCUGCAUCGUCUCUGGCCUGGUGAGUGAUGGCAUAGUGCGACGUGAAAGUGUGGAUUGAGGCCCACGUGGUAGCUCUGCAUAUUUCCUGUGUUGGGACCUGAGCCAGGAACACCACGGAAGAGGCCUGUGCCCUUGUGGAGUGGGCCGUAAUUGGCGGGGCAGGCACCUUGGCCUGAUUGUAGCAUUCGCGGAUGCAAGCCGUGAUCCAUGCGGAGAUAUGGUGUGAAGAGACGGGGAGCCCCUUCAUCCUGUCUGCAACAGCUACGAAGAGUUGGGUUGACUUCCUGAACGACUUAGUUCGUUCAAUAUAGAAUACCAGUGCCCUGUGAACAUCUAGGGAAUGAAGCCUACGCUCCGCAUUGGAUGAGUGUGGCUUAGGAUAGAACAUGGGGAGAAAAAUGUCCUGCCCCAUGUGGAAUUCGGAGACCACCUUAGGAAGGAAUGCCGGGUGCAGCCUGAGUUGGACUUCGUGUUUGUGGAAGACAAAGUAUGGAGGCUUGGACAUCAGUGCUCUGAGUUCCGACACCCUCCUGGACAAGGUGAUAGCCACUAGGAAUGCGACCUUAUAUGAGAGAAAGAGCAGAGAGCACGUAGCCAGGGUCUCAAAGGGGGGCCCUGUGAGGGCGGAGAGGACCAAAUUGAGGUCCCAGGCUGGGGCUGGUUGUCGAGUAUGCGAGAACAGUCUAUCCAGGCCCUUGAGGAAGCGACAAACCAAUGGGUUCGCAAAGACUGAACCACCUUGAGCUCCUGGGUGGAACGCAGAGAUGGCCGCCAAAUGGACCCAAACCGAGGAGAGGGAAAGUCCACGGUGUUUCAAAUGAAUCAGGUAAUCCAGGAUGAGAGUGAUCGGAGCGAGCAAUGGAGCUUCUCCCUACUGUUCGGCCCAGAUGGAGAAGCAUUUCCACUUGGCCAUGUAUGUGGCCCUGGUGGAGGGUUUUCUGCUACCGAGGAGGACUUGCCUGACCUGCUGUGAUCAUUGCAUUUCCACCAGGUUUAGCCAUGGAGCAUCCAGGCUGUGAGGUGGAGCAACUCCAGGUUCGGGUAGCGGAGGCGGCCCCAAUCCUGUGUGAUCAGGUCUGGGAGCAGGGGCAAUGUGAGGGGCGCCUGUAUCGACAUGUGCAGCAGCGACAUACCAAUGCUGGCGUGGUCAUGCCGGCAUUAUCAGUAUGACGCGAGCAUGCUCCCUGCGGAUCUUGAGGAGCACCUUGUGGACCAUGGGAAUUGGGGGGAAGGCGUAAAGCAGGCCGUCUUCCCACAAGAGGAGGAAGGCAUCCGUUAGAGACCCCAGACUGCGCCCCAUGAGGGAGCAGAACUGUCAACACUUCCUGUUGUCCCUCGAGGCAAACAGGUCUAUCUGGGAAUAGCCCCAGAGACGGAAGAUGGAGCGUGCUACGUCUCGGCGAAGGGACCACUCGUGACCAUGGAACGAGUGGCUGAGGGCGUCCGCUAGUCCGUUCUGCACCCCCGGGAGGUAGAAUGCUGUCAGGUGAGUUGCAUUCUGUACACAAGUCCCAUAACGCGAGGGCUUCCCAGCACAGGGGAGAGGAGCGUGCACCCCCGUUUGUUUAUAUAGAACAUCACCUAGGUAUUGUCCGUGAGAACUGCAACACACCUGCCCGCCAGGCGAGAUUUGAAGGUCUGGCAGGCAAGACGCACCGCCAGUAGCUCCCUGACAUUGAUGUACAUGGACAGGUCCUCUGGGGACCAAAGGCCUUGGGUCCUAAGAUUCCCCAGAUGCGCUCCCCACCCCAGAUCCGAUACGUCUGUUACCAAGGAUAGGGAUGGCUGGGGGCUGGCGAAGGGUACUCCUGCGCAGACCUCCCGCUGGUCGAGCCACCACUGGAGGGAAACUAGCACCAUUCGGGGAAGCGUCACCACAGAGUCCAGUGCGUCCCUGGCUGGUCGGUACACAGUCGCUAACCUGGACUGAAAAGGGUGCAACCUGAGCCUGGCGUGGCUCACCACAUAUGUGCACGCAGCCAUAUGUCCCAUCAACUUGAGGCAAUUCCUCGUUGUGGUGGUCGGGAAACGUUGGAGACAAAGAAUGAUGUCGGACAUAGACUGGAACCUGGAUUCCAGUAUAUACGCUCUGGCUUCCGUCGAGUCCAGAACUGCCCCUAUAAAUUCUAUCCUCUGGACGGGAGACAGGGUGGACUUGGCCUCGUUCAGCAGGAGGCCGAGCUCGAGGAAGGUCCAUCUGAUAAAGACCACCUGAGCCUCCACCUGUGUCUUGGAGCGGCCCUUGAUGAGCCAAUCAUCCAGAUAGGGGAAACACCUGAAUUCCGUGCUUGUGCAGGAAGGCUGCCACGACUGCCAAGCACUUUGUAAAGACCCUCGGGGCCGUUGACAGGCCGAAAGGCAGAACUGCAUGCUGGAGAUGGGCGUUGCCCACGACAAAUCUGAGGUAACGUCUGUGUUGGGGGAUUAUCGCAAUAGAAAAUACACAUCCUUCAAGUUGAGGGCGGCGUACCAGUCCCCUGGAUCCACGGAGGGAACAAUGGAGGACAGGGAGACCAUAUGGAACUUGAGCUUCUUUACAAACUUGUUCAGACGCUGCAAGCCCAGAAUGGGUCAGAGGCCCCCUUUUGCUUUCGGUAUUAGGAAAUACCGGGAAUAGAAACCCCUGCCCCGAGUUCCUGAGGAACUUCCUCCACUGCCCCUACAACGAGGAGGGACUGCACUUCCUGCAUUAGAAGUUGCUCGUGAGAGGGGUCCCUGAAGAGGGACGGGGAGGGAGACUGGUGGGGCGGGAGGGAGGAAGGAGAACUGGAUAGAAUAUCCCCUCUCUACCGUGCGUAGCACCCAGCUCUCUGAUGUGAUUCGGGACCAGGCACGAUAGAAGGGGGACAGACGUGAUGAGAAUGUAGGGUUGGUAGGAUCCAGAGUCCUGACUGGUAGGUCGUCCUCGACCGCAUCAUCAAAUUUGGGAUCUAGGUCCCGGUAGGGGCCGCAGCUGGCCGGAGGGCUGUUGUUGUCUCCUUCUGCCGUUUCUGCUCUGCCUACACAUGGCCUCUGUGCGGUUCUGGGGCUGGUAUGGUCGCAGGGCUGGCUGCGGUCUGAGUUGCCUGCGCUGGGUGGCUGGGGUAUACAGGCCCAGUGAGCGUAGGGUAGCCCUUGAGUCCUUUAAGCUAUGGAGCCUCUUGUCCGUCUUUUCGGAGAAGAGCAUGGGCCCUUCGAAGGGGAGGUCCUGGAUGGUCUGUUGGACCUCAUGUGGAAGGCCCGAGACCUGAAACCAGACUCCCCGCCGCAUAACCAGCCCGGUUGCCAGUGUGCGGGAGGCUGCAUCUGCUGCAUCCAGGGAUGCUUGGAGGGAUGCCCAGGAAAUUAGCUUCCCCUCUUUUACUAGAGUGAAAAAACUCUGUUCGCGAUUCCUGGGAAGGAGUUCAGCGAACUUGGACAAAGCCGAGCAUGUGUUAUGGCCAUACCGGCUCUCUAUAGCCUGUUGGUUGGCUAUACAUAGUUGCAAACCCCCUGCUGAGUACACCUUUCUGCCAAAGAGGUCCAACUUUUUCGCCUCCCUGUUCUUCGGGGUAGACCCUUGGAACCCCUGAUGCUCCCUUUGGUUGGCCGCAUCCACAACCAGAGAGUCCAGGGGAGGGUGAGCAAACAGGUGCUCAUGGCCCUUGGAGGUACAAAGUAGCGCCUCUCCAUCUUUUUGGCCAUAGGGGCCAACGAAACUGGCGUCUGCCACAAGGUGCGGGACGUAUCAGCUAUCAUUUUGAUCAAUGGUAGGGCAACCCUAGAUGGGCCCGAGGGGGCCAGGAUGUCCACUACCGGAUCUGUCUCCACCUCGAUCUCCUCUGCUUGGAUCGUCAGGCUCUGAGCGGCACACAUAAGUAGCUGCUGAAGUACCCGAUUGUCCUCUAGGGCCGGUGCCACUGAAGGUCCCGCCCUUGCCUCAUCCAGAGAAGAGGAGGAGGAGAUCACCUGCAAAGGGACUUCCUCUGCGCCCUCAGUCUCUGCAGGGGCCUGCGGCACACGGUACUGCAGUUGCGUGGCCGAUGCGGAUGCAAGAUGCGGCACCAGAGCCGGUACCGGGGUCGACACCGAAGGACGAGGCGUGCUGGGUGGUGCCUGUGGUAUCGGAACCAUGGACCCCGCCAGUGCCGGUGUUUGACUAGAAGGUUCCAGGUUUUAUUGAGGCACACUCCUGUCGGACGGCGGUGCUGGUGGUGGAGGCAUUUGCGCCGGAGCCACCGACAUCGAGGAGACCGACGCAGACCUGGAGCGCGGGCCGUGCACCUGUCCCAGGGUCUGAUGGUAGGCCCAGGGAGUCCAGAAUGGCCACUGGGAGGGCGGUUGCCACUGCUGCUGCCAGUGCGCCGGGUAAGGUUGUUGGCUCGCCUGUGAAGCCGACCUCCUGCUCCUCGAUCUACUGGAGCGGUAGGAUUCCGCCUCUGAGUUCGAGGUCUCCGAAUAGGAGGACCGGAGAGGAGCAGUACCCACUGUCCCCGGGGAGUGGUGCCGUGAGGCUGGGGAACGCUCUCUCUGCGCCGGUGCCACUGGAGUGGUGCGGGGCAGGGACUGGGGCGACAUCAUGGCCAACUUGCACCUUGAUUGGAUCGAGGGUCGGGCCGUGUUCGCCGGCUCUUUCCACCAGUGCAGGGAGGCCGGCACCGGGAGGCUUAAUAAGUCAGAGGCCACCUCGAACGCCUCCGGCGUCAAUGGGAGACGCACAUCCUCGCUGAGGUCCGGGGAUCUCGACCGGUCCGGACUCGACCGCACCCCCACCGGGGCGGGAGUCAACGGAACCGUGGGAGGAUGCGGUUGUGGCACGGCUUGUCCCCAUCGCACUCAUGGACGCCGCCGGCCGUUUAAGGUCCUGGUGCGGUGAUCAGCCCCUCACCGGCCUCUUCUUUUUCACGGGCACCGGAGAUGGUGCCAAUUUUCUAUGUCCCGAUUCUCUCCGGUACCGGGACUUAGAGGUCUUAGACUGGGCCUCCUGUCUUGUUAGCGGUGCCGGGGUGCUGCGCACCGAGGAUGAGGUGCUGGGCGCCAGAUCGGCAGGCUCGGGGUCUGAGUGUGGCCGUAAGGCCGCCUCCUUCAGGAGCACUUUGAGUCUCUGCUCUCUGUCCUUAAGAGUCCUGGAACGGAAUCCCCUGCAAAUACUGCACAGGUCUCUUUGGUGGCUCUCUCCGAGGCACCUUAAGCAGGAAGAGUGCGGGUCACUCUUCGGCAUGAACUUCCCGCAGUUCUUGCAGAGUUUAAACCCUGGGGACCUGGGCAUGCCCCAGCGGGGCGAUGAGUACAUUGGGGGAAGCCCCCCAACAACUAUUAACUAUCUAUAACUAACUCUAAACUAUGAGUGGGGAAAACUAUAUACACUUAAACAGGACACUGCUAUGCUUGCUGCAAGAGCGAGCAAAGUUCCAGCUAGCCGUCACCGGCGGUAAGAAGGAACUGAGGGGGUGGAGGGUUGGCGGGCCCCUAUAUAGGGCGCCGUGGAGGCACCACUCCAGGGGGCGCCAACACCGACCCUACGGAUGCUGCUAGGGGAAAAUCUUCCGGCUCGCGUGCAUGCGGCAUGCACACACCUGCUUGGAAUGGACAUGAACAAUCACUUGAAGAAGAACUUCCCUAAACUAAUUCCUAGAGCAUCUCCUUAGGAUCGUGUUAUACUUUUCUCUGCUAGAUUAAAGAGCCCACUAUUAAAAGUUUGCUCCCCAGGGAGGUACUUAGAAUGUAGUCAAGUUAUCCCUUAACUUUCUCUUUGUUAAACUAAAUACACUGAGCACUUUGAGUCUAUCACUCUAAGGUAUGUUUUUUUUAAUCCUUAGUCGUUCUUGUGGCUCUUCGCUCAACCCUCUCCAAUUUACCAACAUCAUUCUUGAAUUGUGGACACCAGAACUGGACAGUGUUCCAGUAGUGGUCACACCAGUGCCAAACAGAGAAGUGAAAUAACCUCUUUUCUCCUACUUGAGAUUCCUCUGUUCAGGCAGACAAGGAUUGCAUUAGACCUUUUGGCCACAGCAUCACACUGGGAGCUCAUGUUCAUCUGAUGAUCCUCCUCACCACCACCCCAAAAUCUUUUUCAGUCACUGCUUCCUAGGAUAGUCCCCCAGCCUGUAAGUAUGACCUAUGUUUUUUGUUGGCAGAUAUGUUUACAUGUAACCAUAUUAAAAUGCGUAUUUUUUGCUUAUGGCCAGCUUAACCAAGUGAUUCAGAUCUCUUUAUCAGUGGCCUGUCCUCUUUAUUAUUUACCACUCCCCCAAUUUUGGGGUGAUCUGCAAACCUUUAUCAGUGAUGACUUUGUUUUCUUCUAGGCCAUUAAUAAACAUGUUAAAUAGGAUAGGGACAAAAACAGAUUCCCCACAGGAUCUCAAUACACACAUCUGUUUGAUUAUUCCCCAUUUACAAUUACAUUUUGAGAUCUAUCAGGUAGCCAAAUUUUAAUCCAUUUACUUACCAGAGUAGCUCUUGUUCUCUCUAUUGCCUCCACAGAACCAUGUUGUAGGAUUGCAUGCCUGGUCUCACAAACCUUUUGUAACUCGAUGGGCAGUUGGGCACUCACAAAUUCCUAAAGCUUAAUAGUGCCUUGACCACAGACACCCUCCAGUCCUUCUCUUCCUCCAGGAGCUUUAGGGGUGAAGCAAAGAGGAGGGCCAGUGUGGAUCUGUGGAGGUGAUGCUGUUGAAGAAUGUGUUGGUGUGGUAGACUACCCUUUUUUGCUUUCAUAACAUUGCCUCAACAGCACUAUGCCAUAGAGAACUAGCUAGCAGUGACAGUCAUCAGGAGGUGGGCUGAGACCACCACUUGUCGAACAUUAGCUAAAGCCCUGCCCUUGUUCUUUGUGAGAAUAGUGAUUUGUGAAGGUGUGAACCAAACUCCAUGGAGUAGUGGGUUUUUGACAUAAGAUAGGGCCCCACCUCAGAAGUUAUCUGGGGAUUGGGGCUAUCCCAGGUGAGCACACAGAUAUCUCCAGAAAGCAACAAAAUCACAGCACAUGGUGCUGUACAAAUAAUACAAGGCAAUAAGAAUUCCAUGGGCUCAGCCUGCUCUUCUUAGCUACUCAUGCCAACAAAAGACGUACAUCAAAUAGUCUAUUUGAGUGAGAAUACAACUCUGUAGUCUCUAUAUCCUAGAGCCUCAAUCAAGAAAAAUGCAGCUUGAGACAAAUAAGUUGAUCUGACGCCCCCCCCCCAUUUCUCAUAGAGCUUGAUCAGUACUGUAUAUGUCAACUCAAAUUCCCUUGUGGAGAGAGUUUGGUAACUUAACUAGUCAACUUGAAGGCUGACCUUGUACUGGAUAUGUGUAUCCAAGACAGGUUUCCCACACACUGAGGGUUUGCAGAAAGUAAAAUUUGAUGGAAUAGCUGGCUGAGCUGUUGCUCUGAAGCAGGAUGGAGCUAAAUUUAAUUUGAGGGUUAAGGGUCGCCAACAGCACUGCCCUGACUCCAAUUUUUAAUCUUGCUAUAUUUCUUCCUGGUCCAUUUACCAUGAUGUGUGAAGACCCAUGAAAGCGCCUCAUCCCAACACUGAUGCAUCUACAGUUAUUUUUGUGGGGAGCAUCUCAUCAGUACUUUCCCUUGGGAUAAAAUUAGCUUGCGCCACCAUCUCAAGGAUUAUAGUUACUUGUGCAGAGUGUUACCUUGUGCCAUGGAUUCUUCUUGGCAAUCCACGGUAUUAGGAUGGAUUACAGGUCUGAUGCAGGACAGCUAACUGAAUUUGUGUCUGCAUGUAUUAGGCCCAGAAGUUUCAGCAGCUGACAAAUUGGGGCGGUUGGGAUUUUGUACAGAGGAUCUGCACCCAACUUCUUAAUCUCCUGGAUCAUGAGAUGGGUUGAUCAUGCCACCACUCCUUUUCUGUGCCCAACAUUCACAACUAUUCUGGCUCUCUGUUGUGGCAGGGUCUGAAAUGCUGAAGGUUGGAAAACAUCCCCUUAAAGUAAGAAACGGAGGAUGUAUGUAUGAGAUGGCUGCUCUUGUGGCUGCCUAAGAAGCACUGUAAUCCUCCUUUAUACUAUACUUAAAGACAGAAACCUUAAGUGCCUACCCUUCCACAGGGAUUACUUUGGUAUGGGAAAAUUUGUAACUUUGUAGCCUUUUAUAACAACUUUGUAGGCUUUAGUAACAUGACUUUCGAUUUUCCUUAUUUUUUAGCUGUCACCAUUUUUAAUGUUUUCCCCAAAGAGGAAUGUCUGUUCAUUUAGACGUGCAGAGUAUCUAUUGGAAAUGACUGUCAACGAUCCAUGAUACAGCCACAAUAGCCUCCAACCAAGUGGCUAGGAUGCAAUCAUUCUGCAGAGGGUAGCUUCUAGUGUUCUCUCUAAGGGAUCCUUUGGUAAAAAGACUCCCUUGCCCAAGCUGAUCGUGAUGUCUUUUGUCAGCAAGGCCACAGCUGUAUCAACCUUAAGCACCUGCAACUUACACAACUUCUAAAAUGUGUUUUUGUUCAGCCUUCAUGUUUUUCUAAGUGUUUGUUUAGAUCUCCUGAUAUUCAUAAAGUUGUGGAGGAAAAAUCUGCAACCAUCCUAGCUUGAAUAGGUUUUGAGGCCUUCUUCCUCUAUCGCUAAUGUGGCAUCGAAAUAGGUAGAUGGAAAGAAUUUGGUUCUGAUUUGGUCAUGUCUGAUAUAGGUAACUUGCCCUGUGCGAGGGCAGGAUGUAUGUGUGUACAAGAACUACCACUUCUGGCUUUUUCAGUACUUAAGGCCUUUUAGUGUGUUUCAGCAACUAUUACUGUCUAAAGAAGCUUGUGUAGCAGUGGGAGAGUGGUAUCUUGUGCUGUUCAGACAUGGUUCCCUUAAUUGCUCUUAGGUGGGGCAACUGUAUGUUGUAAGUCCUCAACUGGGGGCAGACCAAUCCAAUAGUGUCACUGGGCAUUGUUCCUUUGGGGGCAGGAAGAACCACUAGGGAAGCAGACUGGGAAACUCCCUAAGCCAGUUAGCUCCCAUUUAAGUACUUUAGGAGAGACCUAAGUAUCCUAGGUCCUUUUCAAGUAAUGUGUUUGGUACAUGAGAAGGGUUUUGCACUGAGUGUUCCUUGGGUGCCCCUGAAUGAGAGCUAGAGUCCUUUAUGUAUCUUUUUCUGGACAGAGGCCACCCUGAACACUCCCUGUGCUGUGUGGAAAUGGGGGGGAAGGGAAAAGGCUCCUCUCUAGCCUUUGAGCCCUUAUGCCAGCUUAAGAUAGAUAUAGCCCCUCCCCCCUUUCUGAUGCAGCCUGGGGAGGACUUUGCAGAUAUUGUAUAGAGGACAGCAUGCCUGACAGAAGGCACUCCAGGAGGGUCUGUGCUUAGAUCAUUUGCCUAACAAAUACAAAAUGCUACCCCUUGUAGGGAACAAGGGAGAAGAAUGGGUUUCACUUGUUUUUGUUCCCAUCAGUUGUCCAGAAAAUGUUAGUUCCAGAAAAGUUGACUCCUACCAUGUCAGUGGAGAACUUCAAGGUAACACAAGAUAGUGCUGUGACCAAACAGAGUAGAUGGUUAAGCAACAGUUUGAGUUUCCUCUGCAGCAAGGCAACAAACCAGUAUUGCAGACUAGUGGUGCCAUGAAGCAAAAAUAUUUGAGGUGCUGAUCCCCUUUGUUAUUCAUAUAACAUUUUAUUAAGAACCAGAAGAGGGGAGGAUGGACGUACCCAGCCAUUCUCUUUGGUGAAACCCAGAAACAGAAGGUCCAAGCCAAAGUAUUUUUAAAAGUGUUAAACAGGUGAGUGCAUCAAGACUGCUUCAUAACUCACGUUGCUUCUGUUAAAAUUAACCAGUUUAAGCAACUUACAUCACUUGCAUGCUUCACAUCUAGUGAGACAGGAGAUUGAAAAGUCAAGUUUUCAAGCGCAAAGUAUGGGUAUAUGGUAUAAAUGGCAUUUUUUAAAUGGUAGCUUCAGUAAAGCUAUUUCCUCUCAUAGCAAACACUUUUUAGGCCCAACUACCACCAAUUUUCUGAGAAUUUCUGUAUAACUUAUUACAAAUAAACUGCCACUUGCUUUUCCCAGGAAGUACUGAAAGAAUCUACAUUGGUUUAACACAUAUUAAUGCUAUCCUGGGUAAUUACAGGUUAUUUUGAACUCUGCCAUUUGCAAAACAUUUUUCACAACCAGUACAAAAUACACUAAUGAAACCUUUUCAGACUACGUUAAGUGUCUACAUAAAAAUGGCACCUUCUAUGUCUAUUGUGGUCCUGCCCCAAAGCCACAGAUCAAGGCCUCCUCAUGCUAGGACUGGUAAUGCAUAAACAUUAUACUCAGAAAAAACUUGCAACUAAAGCUCAUUGAAAACAUCCAAUCCCUGAUUAAUGUUAGGUCUGCUUACUUUAGUAACAAUACUUUUUACAGCUUUCCUCCUGUUAGCCCUGUAGAAUUAACAUAGCUAUUGGAUAUGGAUUUGAUUCCUUGUGCAUAAGAAUUAUUCCAUUGUUACACCAAUGCAAGUACAAUGAGAGUUUCACAGGUGUCACUAAACCCUAAUCUCUACUUCAUUUUCCUGUGGGCACCCUCCCUCUUGCCCCCCACCCCAUUGCAUCAAUAAAAUGGUCAUUUGCCUAGCAAAGAAUUACUUAAUGUAAUUUACUUAAUUUCUUCACAGCAGUGUUAGGCUUAAUUCCAUUUUUAAAAAAUUCCUUUGAGAGUCUCAGUUAAGGCACUAUACACAUACAAAUAACUAUUAUGGUGGGAAGAUUUGAUGGCUUGGGAAUUAAAAGGAAAACUAAUUUCAGCUCAAAAUUUAGAAGAGUCAAAACCCUAAAAAAAUUAGUUAAAAAUGCAAUAAAAAUAUUGUAAACAUUCCUCCUCCAUACUGUUGUGUCCAAAAAUUUUGCUAGUGCACAAGCUCAUGUAAAUGAGGGAAACUAUUUUAAUUUUCUAAAUUUUGUCAAUGAUUUUCUGAUGGUUUCUUUGGAGACACUUACUUCAAAUUGGAAAACCUUUCUGCAUGUGACCAGAGCGCCAUCUGUGCAUAUGUUUUACAAAUCUAAAACUGAAUGACAUGCAAAAAGAAAUGAAGUAAAUUAACUUCCACAGUUAAGAAGUAAUAGUUAAGUUUAAUUAGUUGAUUGUGAAAAAAUUAGCAAGAAAUACUAAGUCAAUAUAAAGUAUAAUCUAAAUCUAGUCAUGAGAGCUGGAUGAUUCAGGAGAUUCUUGGAAUAUGGAUCUUCUCCAUCUCUAACUCACUGGUUAGAAUUUAGCCCAUAGCAGUAGUAGUACCUUUUUAUUAUCCAUAUGACAUGUAAAUGCAGAAUAAAAGACAUGAAAAUCCAUUUCAGUGUAAUUAACUUUAUUUUGAGGAAGAAGAGGUUUAUAUGUAACUGUAAUUUUUCUAUCCAUACCAGCAACUUCAAAAGGACUGGAAACUAGAACUUCCUUAACCAUCAUUGCAAUAUCAACAUGAGUUUGUAUGAACAGCAAAUUAUAUAACUAAUUGCUAUGUUCAAUAAAUAUUUUUUCUCCUGCACUGAUUAAGGGGAAACACUACUUUGAGUUCAAUUAAAAAAAAUCAGUUAGAUUUGUAUGGUUUUAACUUCAAAUGUUAUCCAUUGUAUAGCAGUCUAGAAACUUUUCAUCUAUAAAACACAAUCUUGAUCUUCAGUGUAUAAGAAUCUGUUUUUCCAAAGAAGUUAAACCAAAUAUGAAAAUUUGCUAUAGCUCUAAUAUUUCUACACUCAAAG